rnacentral:piRNA from 1 species
UGCAGUUGAUUUGCAUGUCAGGGUCAGUCAA